AGGAAUAAUACCGUGAAUGAAUGGUUUAAGCAUCAUGUCAUCCGCCCCCAUGUCCUAGAUUCAAACCCUUGCUGCCACUUUUCCUUGUUUUUUUUCAUUAUUUUCAUUUUUUCCAUUCUUUUUCAAACUUAUUGUUUUUCUUUUCUUUCACAUUUUCCCAACCAUCCAAAUGAUGUUUCUUUAUAAUUUUUGUGGCACAUACUUCUUAUUUGUAACAUUAUAUUUGU
rnacentral:lncRNA from 1 species